UUAAUAGAAGCCAAAAAGAGGCAAUCUAUUGUUAAUAGAAAAAAUGACAAAAUUGUCCUAUUAAA